GAUGAACGCUGGCGGCGUGCCUAAUACAUGCAAGUAGAACGCUGAAGCUUGGUGCUUGCACCGAGCGGAUGAGUUGCGAACGGGUGAGUAACGCGUAGGUAACCUGCCUCUUAGCGGGGGAUAACUAUUGGAAACGAUAGCUAAUACCGCAUAAAAGUCGAUAUCGCAUGAUAUUGAUUUGAAAGGUGCAAAUGCAUCACUAAGAGAUGGACCUGCGUUGUAUUAGCUAGUUGGUGAGGUAACGGCUCACCAAGGCGACGAUACAUAGCCGACCUGAGAGGGUGAUCGGCCACACUGGGACUGAGACACGGCCCAGACUCCUACGGGAGGCAGCAGUAGGGAAUCUUCGGCAAUGGGGGCAACCCUGACCGAGCAACGCCGCGUGAGUGAAGAAGGUUUUCGGAUCGUAAAGCUCUGUUGUAAGAGAAGAACGAGUGUGAGAGUGGAAAGUUCACACUGUGACGGUAGCUUACCAGAAAGGGACGGCUAACUACGUG
rnacentral:rRNA from 1 species